UUAAGAGUCAGGGAUUUAGGGUUUCAAGGGUCGAGUUAAGGUUUAAGGUUUAGAUUAACUAGUUUUUUUAAUUUAUAUAUUAAAUAUGUUCUUAUAUAAUUGUAAAAGAGAUAAUAAUAAAUUUAAUAUAUUGAAAUUAUGAGUAUAGUUUAUAUUAUUUAAGAGAUAUAUAAUAGAUAGACUUUAUGUAUAUUGAAUGGUUAAUUUAGGGUUUAAG
rnacentral:lncRNA from 1 species